rnacentral:rRNA from 1 species
UACGAAGGGAGCGAGCAUUAUUCAUCAUGAUUGGGUGUAAAAGGUACCUUGGUUGUUUAUUAAGUUUAUUAUUAAAUUCUAGAACUUAAUUUUAGUAAAGUAGUAAAUACUAGUAAACUUGAGUUUAUUAUAAAGGAUAGCAGUAUUAACAAAGUAAGGGUGAUAUCUAACGAUAUUGUUAAGACUACCAUUUGGCGAAGGCAGCUAUCUGGGUUAAGACUGACACUUAAAGUACAAAAGCAUGGGGAGCAAAUGGG